UACGGGGGAGCAAGCGUUGUUCGGAUUUACUGGGCGUAAAGGGCGCGUAGGCGGCGCGACAAGUCACUUGUGAAAUCUCCGGGCUUAACCCGGAGCGGCCAAGUGAUACUGUAGUGCUAGAGUGCGGAAGGGGCUACUGGAAUUCUCGGUGUAGCGGUGAAAUGCGUAGAUAUCGAGAGGAACACCUGCGGCGAAGGCGGGUAGCUGGGCCGACACUGACGCUGAGGCGCGAAAGCCAGGGAGCGAACGGG
rnacentral:rRNA from 1 species